rnacentral:rRNA from 1 species
AACGUAGGACACAAGCGUUAUCCGGAGUUACUGGGCGUAAAGGGCGUUUAGGCGGGUGAUUAAGUUCGCUAUGAAAGCGCCAGGCUAAACCUGGCGAGGCUGGCGGAUACUGGUCAUCUGGAGUAAGGGAGAGGGAGGUAGAAUUCCGCGUGUAGUGGUGAAAUGCGUAGAGAUGCGGAGGAAUACCAGUGGCGAAGGCGGCCUCCUGGCCCUUAACUGACGCUGAAGCGCGAAAGCAUGGGGAGCGAACGGG